rnacentral:lncRNA from 1 species
GCGAACUUAAUCUCUGAAUAUAUUGUUUCAUUGUGCAGGCUCCAAGUCAGAAGGUGUUCACCUGUGUUUGGUUUAAGCACAAUUUUGUACGGGAGCGAACUAUUUCGCUUUUACGAGGCAAGGCUUAGUUUUCUUGCAGCUCUGGCAAACCAGCAAUGAAGGCACUAAUCCUCGCAGUCGUUAUUAUUGUUGCAACUGACUCGACGCUCAUACUUGCAACAAAUGACUGCAAUGAACCACCCGGCGGAUGUCCGAGGGGUGUGAAAGGUGCUCAAGAAAUUUGGCUUCAAAGAAGGAAUCAAGCCUUAUGUUACAAAAUCAGGACGCCAGGCUGCAAAGGACAUGGAUUUUCAAGGUUGUUUGACUGUUAUAACUGGUGCAUUAGCGGUGACUAAGAUGUAUAAAAAUUUCAGAUACAAUAAGUGCCUGAUACGUUA